rnacentral:rRNA from 1 species
AGAGUUAAACAGUACGUGAAAUUGUUGAAAGGGAAACGAUUGAAGUCAGUCGUGCCGGCGCGAAAUCAGCUUGACCGGUAGUAGGUAAGCAAACAGGCUGUGGCGAGCCUCAAAGCCGCCACAACUUGUGCACUCCCUACCGGCCUCGUGCACUUUCGUGUCGGCUGGUUAACAUCAAUUUCGAUCGUCAUAAAAAGGCUGGAGGGAUGUGGCUCCUUCGGGAGUGUUAUAACCUUUGGCGGAAUGUGGUGGUCGUGAUUGAGGCUUGCAACGAAUACCUUCAGGGCUGUCCCACCUGGCCUCUCGUCGGCAUCCUGGCGACGACAGCUUGCUUGACGUUGUUAGGAUCAGCUUUCGAACAGGCUAGAGUGUGAGCAAAUUCGUUAAGGAUGUUAACGUAAUGGCUUUAAACGACC